AGAUAAAGUUUUGGGAUAUGGAUAAUGCCAAUAUGCUUACAAGUACAGAUGCAGAUGGUGGACUACCGAGUCUCCCUCGCCUGAGAUUCAACAAAGAGGGAAAUCUACUUGCUGUUACUACUGCAGAUAACGGAUUCAAGAUACUUGCAAAUGCUUCUGGUCUCAGGUCAUUGAGAACCGUAGAAACUCCAGCUUUUGAAGCAUUGAGAUCGCCUAUUGAAUCAGCUGCUAUCAAGGUUUC
rnacentral:misc_RNA from 1 species